rnacentral:pre_miRNA from 1 species
GGUCUACAUCUUCAUGUUGGUCUUCAUUCUUCAUGUUGGUCUACAUCUUCAUGUUGGUCUUCAGUAGACCAACAUGAAGAUGUAGACCAACAUGAUGAAGAUGUAGA